rnacentral:rRNA from 1 species
CAGGACGAACGCUGGCGGCAUGCUUAACACAUGCAAGUCGAACGAGAAUCUGUGGAUUGAGGAUUCGUCCAAAUGAAGCAGAGGACAGUGGCGGACGGGUGAGUAACGCGUGAGGAACCUGCCUUUCAGAGGGGGACAACAGUUGGAAACGACUGCUAAUACCGCAUAACGCGUAGAGGUCGUAUGGCCUUUACGCCAAAGAUUUAUCGCUGAAAGAUGGCCUCGCGUCUGAUUAGCUAGUUGGUGAGGUAACGGCCCACCAAGGCGACGAUCAGUAGCCGGACUGAGAGGUUGAACGGCCACAUUGGGACUGAGAUACGGCCCAGACUCCUACGGGAGGCAGCAGUGGGGAAUAUUGGGCAAUGGGCGCAAGCCUGACCCAGCAAUGCCGCGUGAAGGAAGAAGGCUUUCGGGUUGUAAACUUCUUUUGUCAGGGACGAGUAGAAGACGGUACCUGACGAAUAAGCCACGGCUAACUACGUG